rnacentral:rRNA from 1 species
AACGUACGCUGGCGGCACGCCUAACACAUGCAAGUCGAACGAAGUAGCAAUACUUAGUGGCAGACGGGUGAGUAACAUGUAGGUAUCUACCCUUUGGCCUGGAAUAACACGAGGAAACUUGUGCUAAUACCGGAUAAGUCUUUACGGAGAAAGCUUUAUGCACCAUUGGAUGAGCCUGCACUUGAUUAGUUUGUUGGUGGGGUAAUGGCCUACCAAGACUGUGAUCAAUAGCUGAUUUGAGAGGAUGAUCAGCCACAUUGGGACUGAGACACGGCCCAAACUCCUACGGGAGGCAGCAGUGGGGAAUCUUGCACAAUGGAGGAAACUCUGAUGCAGCGAUGCCGCGUGAGUGAAGAAGGCCCUUGGGUUGUAAAGCUCUUUCGUCGGGGAAGAAAAUGACUGUACCCGAAUAAGAAGGUCCGGCUAACUUCGUG